rnacentral:rRNA from 1 species
UGGGGAAUAUUGCACAAUGGGCAAAAGCCUGAUGCAGCAACGCCGCGUGAGCGAUGGAGGCCUUCGGGUCGUAAAGCUCUGUCCUCAAGGAAGAUAAUGACGGUACUUGAGGAGGAAGCCCCGGCUAACUACGUGCCAGCAGCCGCGGUAAUACGUAGGGGGCUAGCGUUAUCCGGAUUUACUGGGCGUAAAGGGUGCGUAGGCGGUCUUUUAAGUCAGAAGUGAAAGGCUACGGCUUAACCGUAGUAAGCUUGUGAAACUGGAGGACUUGAGUGCAGGAGAGGAGAGUGGAAUUCCUAGUGUAGCGGUGAAAUGCGUAGAUAUUAGGAGGAACACCAGUAGCGAAGGCGGCUCUCUGGACUGUAACUGACGCUGAGGCACGAAAGCGUGGGGAGCAAACA